UCCCUUAUUGCAGAACUGCUGCAUGUAUACAGUGACCGAAAGGACUCAAUUUACUGCAACUGCUGCCUGGUUUUACUUACAACUUUCUUUAAAGGGGGACUUACCUUCUAUCACUCUUAAUAAGGUGGCUGCACCCAAAGGACAUAACUUCACCUGAAGCUGUAAGCAAUGAGACCUAAGCUUAGACCAACUCAUUUGGCUCCCACAUCUAGAAAGAUGGGCUGGUAUGUAAGCUGUGAAAUGAGCAAGGCAGACUGAC